UGGGGAAUAUUGGACAAUGGGGGGAACCCUGAUCCAGCCAUGCCGCGUGUGUGAAGAAGGCCUUAUGGUUGUAAAGCACUUUAAGCGAGGAGGAGGGUACUGGUAUUAAUACUACCAGGUACUGGACGUUACUCGCAGAAUAAGCACCGGCUAACUCUGUGCCAGCAGCCGCGGUAAUACAGAGGGUGCGAGCGUUAAUCGGAUUUACUGGGCGUAAAGCGUGCGUAGGCGGCUAAUUGAGUCGGAUGUGAAAUCCCCGAGCUUAACUUGGGAAUUGCAUUAGAUACUGGUUAGCUAGAGUGUGGGAGAGGAUGGUAGAAUUCCAGGUGUAGCGGUGAAAUGCGUAGAGAUCUGGAGGAAUACCGAUGGCGAAGGCAGCGAUCUGGCCGAACACUGACGCUGAGGUACGAAAGCAUGGGGAGCAAACAGG
rnacentral:rRNA from 1 species